rnacentral:misc_RNA from 1 species
AACGCACAUUGCGCCCCUUGGUAUUCCGAGGGGCAUGCCCGUUCGAGCGUCAUUAUAACCCCUCAAGCCCAGCUUGGUGUUGGGGCCUGCUGUUGCCGGCAGCCCUUAAAAUCAGUGGCGGUGCCAUCUGGCUCUAAGCGUAGUAAUACUUCUCGCUACAGGGUCCCGGUGGAUGCUUGCCAUCAACCCCUAAAUUUCUAUGGUUGACCUCGGAUCGGGUAGGGAUACCCGCUGAACUUAA